rnacentral:rRNA from 1 species
GCAUAGCUGUAAACUUUGAUGCAUAAUUACAAUGUCAUUCGCCAGGGUACUACGAGCACCAGCUUAAAACCCAAAGGACUUGGCGGUGCUUUAGACCCACCUAGAGGAGCCUGUUCUAGAACCGAUAACCCCCGUUAAACCUCACCCUCUCUUGUUCUUUCCGCCUAUAUACCGCCGUCGUCAGCUUACCCUCUGAAGGACAAAUAGUAAGCAAAACCAGUAAUACUCAAAACGUCAGGUCGAGGUGUAGCAUAUGAGAGGGGAAGAAAUGGGCUACAUUCCUUGCUUCAAGGAAAACGGAUAAUAUAAUGAAACGUAUAUUAGAAGGAGGAUUUAGCAGUAAGCAGUAAAUAGAGAGUUCUGCUGAAACUGGCCCUGAAGCGCGC